rnacentral:rRNA from 1 species
UCUGCCUGGUAGUGGGGGAUAACGUUCCGAAAGGAACGCUAAUACCGCAUACGUCCUACGGGAGAAAGCAGGGGACCUUCGGGCCUUGCGCUAUCAGAUGAGCCUAGGUCGGAUUAGCUAGUUGGUGAGGUAAUGGCUCACCAAGGCGACGAUCCGUAACUGGUCUGAGAGGAUGAUCAGUCACACUGGAACUGAGACACGGUCCAGACUCCUACGGGAGGCAGCAGUGGGGAAUAUUGGACAAUGGGCGAAAGCCUGAUCCAGCCAUGCCGCGUGUGUGAAGAAGGUCUUCGGAUUGUAAAGCACUUUAAGUUGGGAGGAAGGGCAUUAACCUAAUACGUUAGUGUUUUGACGUUACCAACAGAAUAAGCACCGGCUAACUUCGUGCCAGCAGCCGCGGUAAUACGAAGGGUGCAAGCGUUAAUCGGAAUUGCUGGGCGUAAAGCGCGCGUAGGUGGUUCGUUAAGUUGGAUGUGAAAGCCCCGGGCUCAACCUGGGAACUGCAUCCAAAACUGGCGAGCUAGAGUACGGUAGAGGGUGGUGGAAUUUCCUGUGUAGCGGUGAAAUGCGUAGAUAUAGGAAGGAACCACCCAGUGGCGAAGGCGA